AGAAUCAACGCUGGCGGCGUGCCUAACACAUGCAAGUCGAACGAGAAAGUGGAGCAAUCCAUGAGUAAAGUGGCGCACGGGUGAGUAACACGUGACUAACCUACCCUCGAGUGGGGAAUAACCUAGGGAAACCUGGGCUAAUACCGCAUAAUACCUACGGGUCAAAGGAGCAAUUCGCUUGAGCGAGGGGGUCGCGGCCGAUUAGUUAGUUGGCGGGGUAAUGGCCCACCAAGACGAUGAUCGGUAUCCGGCCUGAGAGGGCGGACGGACACACUGGAACUGAAACACGGUCCAGACUCCUACGGGAGGCAGCAGUGGGGAAUUUGCGCAAUGGGGGAAACCCUGACGCAGCAACGCCGCGUGGAGGAUGAAGUCCCUUGGGACGUAAACUCCUUUCGAUCGGGACGAUUAUGACGGUACCGGAAGAAGAACGCCCCGGCUAACGUCCGCGCCAGCAGCCGC
rnacentral:rRNA from 1 species